rnacentral:rRNA from 1 species
UACGGGCAUAUCAUAUAGAAACACCAGUUCUAUUUCAAUCACCGAAGUUAAGCAACGUCGAGCCUGGUCAGCACCUAGAUGGGUGACCGCUUGGGAAUACCAGGUGCUGUAAG